UAAUACGUAGGGUGCGAGCGUUAAUCGGAAUUACUGGGCGUAAAGCGUGCGCAGGCGGAUUGUUAAGCAAGAUGUGAAAUCCCCGGGCUUAACCUGGGAAUGGCAUUUUGAACUGGCAGUCUAGAGUGUGUCAGAGGGGGGUGGAAUUCCACGUGUAGCAGUGAAAUGCGUAGAGAUGUGGAGGAACACCAAUGGCGAAGGCAGCCCCCUGGGAUAACACUGACGCUCAUGUACGAAAGCGUGGGUAGCAAACAGGAUUAGAUACCCUGGUAGUCCACGCCCUAAACGAUGUCAACUGGUUGUUGGGGGGAGUGAAAUCCCUUAGUAACGAAGCUAACGCGUGAAGUUGACCGCCUGGGGAGUACGGUCGCAAGAUUAAAACUCAAAGGAAUUGACGGGGACCCGCACAAGCGGUGGAUGAUGUGGAUUAAUUCGAUGCAACGCGAAAAACCUUACCUACCCUUGACAUGUCCAGAACCCUGCAGAGAUGCGGGGGUGCCCGAAAGGGAAUUGGAACACAGGU
rnacentral:rRNA from 1 species